GUUUUAUUUUAAUUUUGAAAAUUUUGGACUUGCUUAAAAUAACGUAUUUUUUUUUCGAAUGAAUUUCUCUAAGUUAGGAAGAUAAAUCAAAAAUUUACUAUUGCAGGUCUCUAGUUUAGUCAUUUUUCCUUUUGGAUGAUGUAAAAUUUACAACAUUUGAAAGAAGUUUGUUUAAAGUAUCAGUCAUUUUCCAAACCUCAGCAAUAGUGUUAAAAUAUAUCAAUACAUGGCGAUACAGUUGGCUUAGUGCGAAAUAAAGAACUAAAUAAAGUAACUGAUUAUUUUGGACAGUGCCGAAGCUGAAUUUAAGGUAAAAAAAUAUUUGAAGGACUCAGAAUUGUUAGUAUGCAACAUUUUUUAGACAGUGUAAAGCAAUGAUCAAAUCAUUCCCAAUUAUUUGGAUGUCGCUUUAAUGAAAUAGACAUUAUAAAAGAACAAAAAAGGGGUUAUAAGUAAAAUUGUCUUUUAAUGUAAAAUGUGUCACUACACAGAAACUAUUUCGACUUGUCCAGAACAACCAAAAAAGGUAGAUAUCAAUACUUCUGUUGUCACUGCUGCCAUGAAUUCUGGUAUAGGGUACACGCAAAUACGAACUAUAAUUAGUGCCUUAGAUGUACCACCCUUUAAUUCUACAUUAUAUAAAAAGGUUCAUAAUCAAAUAUGCUCUGCUUGGGAAGUGGCUUGGAAAUCCAAGAAGAGGCAAAAAUGGCUAUAGAAUGUGGUAGUAUUGAUGUUGUUGCUUAUAUCAAUAUCCCCUCUUAUUCUGAGAUAAACAUUAAUAAACCUAAAACAAACUACAGAAAAGUCAUAAUGAGCUGUAUGAAGAAAAAUAAAUUUUUUUUAAAUUAA